AUUACACUUAUAUUUUCUCCUUUCGUUAACUUAAGCAUCGGAGGGUGCGACAAGCACAUACCUCGACUCCUUUGUUUCAAGCACCAGAGAUGUCGUUCGUGGUCAUUCUCAAUCUUCAAGCUUGAGAAUCAACAUGUGAAUAUUUUUGGUAAAAUCAAUAUCAUUGUUAUGGAAUGUUACAUUAGAGAUUUGAGGUUCUUAGAUGAUUUUCGAAUUAGGGUGAAUGUGGAAUUUGGUGUUUGCUAAUUUUGUGACUUAAUUUUAGUUAGGAACUUAGGUAUUCUGCUUUCUAACGGUGGUGGUUGCACGUUUUUGAGGAUUUGAAGCUUUGAAUGAUGGUGGGAUUUUCCAAUUUGGCAUUUAUUAUUACCUAUCAAUCUUAUUUAGCUUCGAUGAGGAUUAAAAUCCAAUUUUUAGUAAAUUUUAAUAGAAAUCAAUGAAAUGCGUGGUUGAAAUGUUG
rnacentral:lncRNA from 1 species